CAGUCGCCGCGGUAAUACGAAGGUCCCAAGCGUUGUUCGGAAUCACUGGGCGUAAAGGGAGCGUAGGCGGCGUGGUAAGUCAGAUGUGAAAUCCCGGGGCUCAACCCCGGAACCGCAUCCGAUACUGCCAUGCUUGAGGGUUGGAGAGGUGACUGGAAUUCUCGGUGUAGCAGUGAAAUGCGUGGAUAUCGAGAGGAACACUCGUGGCGAAGGCGAGUCACUGGACAACAUCUGACGCUGAGGCUCGAAGGCUAGGGUAGCGAAAGGGAUUAGAUACCCCCGUAGUCCCUGUCUCUUAUAC
rnacentral:rRNA from 1 species